rnacentral:rRNA from 1 species
GACGAACGCUGGCGGCGUGCCUAACACAUGCAAGUCGAGCGAGAAAAUCACCUUCGGGUGAGAUUCUAGCGGCGGACGGGUGAGUAACACGUGGGCAACCUGCCUCAUAGAGGGGAAUAGCCUUUCGAAAGGAAGAUUAAUACCCCAUAAGAUUGUAGUAUCGCAUGAUACAGCAAUUAAAGGAGCAAUCCGCUAUGAGAUGGGCCCGCGGCGCAUUAGCUAGUUGGUGAGGUAACGGCUCACCAAGGCGACGAUGCGUAGCCGACCUGAGAGGGUGAUCGGCCACAUUGGGACUGAGACACGGCCCAGACUCCUACGGGAGGCAGCAGUGGGGAAUAUUGCACAAUGGGGGAAACCCUGAUGCAGCAACGCCGCGUGAGUGAUGACGGUCUUCGGAUUGUAAAGCUCUGUCUUCGGGGACGAUAAUGACGGUACCCGAGGAGGAAGCCACGGCUAACUACGUGCCAGCCGCCGCGGUAACAC